CUUAAAAUUCCUGUCCAAGCUCAGAGUGGAUUAUCUGGUCACCCUACAUUUAUAGAUUUCCACUGAGGCAGCUUCCAGGGUUAGCGAUGGAACAGAAGACGUGUGCUGACUCCCAUGGAGCUGCCUGGGUAUGAAAUAACUGGCAAACAACUGUCCCUCUGUUGAUCUGAGGCUGAUCCAAACAUGCUCAUCAUGGUCAGUAGUUAGGAUUCAGGUGUCACAGGAAACAAUGAGCAGUGGUAACAGAAUCCACAAGAGUCACAGUCUCUAGGUGUCUGCUUUGUAGACCUACAGCGAUUGCUGGUGCUCCUUGGUCGAGCCUCUGGGUUGUAACAAUAGUCAAGACAUAGCUGCAGGCCAGCGAGAGACAAGCGCUAUAAAUCCUGAGGAGAAGAUACAAAUACAGAGACUGCAAAGUUCAAGUGGAGGAAUUGAGAGGAUGGGAUGUGAUAGUAGACAGGUAAUGGUGAAAUACCAAAGAAUCAUGAGACGGAAAAGGCCACUGUGGGACAAAGGGACCGGGGAUGCAUCAGAAAAUGACACAAGCAUGGAUUUUGGACUUACAAAGAACUUGAAGACUGGGCAAACACUACCUCCAAUGACCGUGCAGGAUGUGAUGAGGAAGCUGUGAUGACUGCGACUUCCUCCACAAGCAAAAAUGGAGAAAUCUUCUAUUUAGAUUAUUAGACGCAGCGUAUGCCUGAGGGCAGUGUGUGGCCCAGCGGGUUAAGAUGCUGCACUUGUGAUUGUAAGGCCGCCAGCUUAAAUGCCAGGGUUGGCCGACCCUUGAGCAAGGCCCUUAAUUAAUAGACUAACAAAGCUUUAAUUCAGGUGUAACCAGCUAUUACUGUAUAUGCUAGUUACACAAACGAAGAAAUUUCACAGAAAACUGAGACAGUUGCUACUGGUAGAAGACUACUACUGUAAUAAAAGUUGUAAAUCGAUUCAAAACUUUCAGACACAUAUUAAAAAAAGACUACAUGUCUUGCAAACAAUCACAUCUGUCAUCUACUUACAUUUCAAUUUCUGUUUCUCAAAACUUGUGCUUGUUUCUGCUUAGUUUGUGCCAAGAGUAAUCAUCACCUCUCAUGAAUCAUGGGAUUGGCAGUUUCAUCCUGCAGGUGGAACAGUCGACUUGGUAAUUAUUAAAAGUGUCAUUGAAACAGACAUUUUAUUUAAGUUUUGGGCAUUUAUGCAUUUGCAUAGU